CUGCUUUUUGUCAUAUUGAUUGAGCAGUGAACAGUUCCUAGUUAAGUACCAUAAGAUGGUGCUGUUAAGGAAGGCAUGUGCCAGAUGCUGGAUUACAUCAGAAUGAGCAAGAAAAAUACAGCAUCUGUCCAGGUGGAACUUACAGUCUGGUGAAUACACACAAAUAGGUAAAUUCUCUUUGCUGUAGGAGCAACACCUAAACCCAGAUUUGAGGUAAGGGAAGGCUGUAAUUUGUUUUUGGAACAAUGGGUUACUAAUCUGCUUAAAAGUUUCGAGCACUAAUACAUGUUUGUCCAAAUCUUUUACUCGUUUUUCUUACAUACUAAGACUUAAUUGCAAGGAAGAGAAACUCAGGCUAUCUUAAAGAGGAUAAUAUGUUAUCCUCUGGAGAAACAUGAUACUAAAGACGAGUGCAGCAGGGAGUACUAGAACGGGGAAUGUGGUACUGGAAGGACUCUUGUUCAUUUCUGAUAUAUUGUAUGGGUCUGUGUAAUGCUUUCCUCUCUAUAAAACUGGUCACUUCCAGUUCAGAGUGGUGAGAAUCAUGACUGCUAACCUAUCUUCAUUAUUAUGCUUGACGCCUUCAGCCACCACAGGGGACAUUUCUUUGAUUCCAUAACAGAUUCAAAGUCCAGAAGUGCCAGAGAAAAGACUAGUUGACCAGUUUGGUUGAUGUAUUUACCUGGAGUGUUCUUUCAUGUUGGAAAAUACAUUCAAAGAGUUGGGUUAGGUUGUUGGCUUGUGCUUCAGGGUCUGAACAGUAGAAGCAUUAAUAUGCACCAAGGGAUGAUAGUACUGGCUUUUCACCAUAUUUUUUAUUUCUUAUAACACUGGUAAAUUUGCUAAGAUGCUUUCAUACACCAUGUGUGUCUUUGGGUUUUGUCUUAUUUUUAAUUAUCAUGGAUACAUAAAGAUUGUACAUAUUUAUGGGGUCCAUGUGAUAUUUUGAUACAAGCAUACAAUGUGUAAUGAUCAAACCAGGGUAAUUGGGGUAUCCAUUACCUCAUGCAUUUAUCAUUGCUUUGCGUUAGGAACAUUCCAAUUCCACUCUUAGUUACUUUGAAAUAUACGAUAAAUUAUUUUUCACUAUAGUCACCCUAUUGUGCUACAGAACACUAGAGCCAUCCUUUUAUCUAACAACAUAUUAAUUGAAAAAGGUGUCACUUUAAGAUUAUUAGGAUUUUUUUUUUUUUUGAGAUGGAGUCUCACUUGCCUCCCAGGCUGGAGUUCAGUGGCGCGCCCUCAGCUCACUGCAACCUCCACC
rnacentral:lncRNA from 10 species